rnacentral:rRNA from 1 species
GACGGAGGAUGCAAGUGUUAUCCGGAAUCACUGGGCGUAAAGCGUCUGUAGGUGGUCAAAUAAGUCAACUGUUAAAUCUUGAGGCUCAACCUCAAAAUCGCAGUCGAAACUAUUAGACUAGAGUAUAGUAGGGGUAAAGGGAAUUUCCAGUGGAGCGGUGAAAUGCGUAGAGAUUGGAAAGAACACCGAUGGCGAAGGCACUUUACUGGGCUAUUACUAACACUCAGAGACGAAAAGCUAGGGUAGCAAAUGGG